AAAAUAUAAAUUGAUAAUUUAAAUUUAAUAAAAGUAAUUUUAAUAUUAAAAUAGGGGGUUAAAGUAUUUUAAUAGAAAAAAUUAGAAAUUUUAUAGUGAAUUAGUAUAGUAAUAGAAUUUUGAAAUAAAUGAAAACAAAUUUAUUUAAAAGUAAUUUUAAUUUAUUGUAUCUUGUGUAUCAGAGUUUAUUAAAUAAUUUUUAAAAUUUUAAAUAUUUCGAAUUUAAAAGAGCUAAUUAAUUAAUAAAUUUAAUGUUAAAUAAUUAUUUUAAAUAAUUAAUUAGAAAUGAAAUGUUAAUCGUUUUUAAAUAUAUCUGGUUAUUUUAGAAAAAAAUUUAAUUUUAAAUUUAUUUUUAUUUAUUUAAAUUAAAUAAAUAAUUUAAAUAAAAAUAAUUUUUAUAAUUUAAGGGAUAAGCUUUAAAUUAAAAAUUUAUAAUAUUUUUUUUUUAUUUAAAAUUUUUAAAAUUUAUAUUGUUUAAAAAUUAAAAUUUUUUAUAAAAAAUUUUAAAAUAAAUAAAAUUUAAAAUAAAUUUAAUUUUUUAUAAAAAUAUGAUUUUUAAUAUAUAUAUAUAUAUAUAUGAAUUAGAAAUAAUGAUAAAAUUAGUAUAAUUGAUUUAAUAAAAAUAUUAUAUAUUUUGAUUUAAUUAAAAAGAAUUCGGCAAAAUUUUAUAUUCACCUGUUUAACAAAAACAUGUCUUUUUGAUUUAAUUUAAAGUCCAAUCUGCCCACUGAUUAAAAAUUGAAGGGCUGCAGUAAUUUGACUGUACAAAGGUAGCAUAAUCAUUAGUCUUUUAAUUGAAGACUUGUAUGAAGGAUUAGAUGAAAUAUAAACUGUUUCUUAUUUAUAAUUAAAAUUUAAUUUUUUAGUUAAAAAGCUAAAAUAUUUUUAAAAGACGAGAAGACCCUAUAGAGUUUUAUAAUUUAUAAUUUAUAAUAUUUAUAUAAAAUUUUAAUAUUAAAUAUUAUAAAUUAUUUUGUUGGGGUGAUAAAAAAAUUAAAUUAACUUUUUUUUUUAAUUAUCAUAGGUAAAUGAGUCAAUGAUCCUAAAUAAAGAUUAUAAGAAAAAAUUACCUUAGGGAUAACAGCGUAAUAUUUUUUUUUAGUACAAAUAAAAAAAAAAGUUUGCGACCUCGAUGUUGGAUUAAGAUAAAAUUUAAAUGCAAAAGUUUAAAGUUUUGAUCUGUUCGAUCAUUAAAAUCUUACAUGAUCUGAGUUCAAACCGGUGUAAGCCAGGUUGGUUUCUAUCUUUAAAUAAAUAAAAUAUUUUAGUACGAAAGGAUCAAAUAUUUAAAAUAAUUUUUUUUAUAAUGAAUUUUAUUAAUAGUUAUUAAAUAUA
rnacentral:rRNA from 1 species